GUCUCAGCUCGAGCAUUCCUAGCGCCAACACGCCCUCAGGUAAAGGUGGAAGUAAAUGGCCACGCUGUAUUGACAGAGCAGGUAGAUGAAACUCAAGAGAAAAGGUGUGGAUAAAUGAAACUAGCCCAUGAUGAACCUGUUUUCUCCGUGACCACAAUAUUAACCAGGAUGAAUGGCGGUGGCAGUGGGCCUGCAUCACAGGUUGCAGCAGAUGUUCUCAAUAUUUCUAUUAAAAUUUCCUUAUUUCCAUAUGCAAGAGGAGCCCCAGAGCUGCAUCCUUAUGGUAGCUACCAUGCCGUGAUGUAAGCUGCCAUUCACUGGGGAGCUUUGGCAAUAGAAUUGGCUAGAUCAGGAAGCCUAUGUCAACUAUGGAACAACAACUUGCAGCUCAUCUCUAUUGAUGAUGGAAUCUCGCUAUGUCACCAGGCUGGAGUGCAGUGGCGCAACCUCGGCUCAGCGCAACAUCCGCCUCCCGGGUUCAAGUGAUUCUCCUACCUCAGCCUCCUGAGUAGCUGGGAUUACAGAUACACUGCCUCUAGGACUGGGACAGAUAGCCACUGAGUACCUGCUUCAAAUCACCCUGCACGUUUUCUCUUUGGAAAGAUAAGCACUGGAGAACCAUCUCGUUACCUUCAGCAGAAAUGGAAACAAAUCAAGACAUUAAGAAUGCCGCAGUGGACAGCAGUUAUGCAAGGUUCAGCAGAGGAAGUUUUCAAGAUGGUGUGCCUCACUAGCCAGAAAUCAGAAAAGAUCGAAGCUAGCCUUUUCAUCUCAGCUGCUCCUUAAAUCAGUGCAACCCCUCCAAAUUAAUGUGAAUUGAAACUUGCAUUGCUUUUCAACUUAAUUGAAUACUUACUAUAUGUGAACCACUGCACAAAAUAGGGGAAGAAGAUGUGGGAGACAAAGAUGUGGAGCCUGUCUUCAAUAAAUUUACAGUUAGUUUCAGGGUACAUUGUUUUUCUUCUGCUGUUAAUUAGGUGUAUCCCCAAGACAAUAAAUACAUGAAUGGAAAAGUAUAUUCUGUGUUUUAAGUCUCUUUAAUAAAAAACAAAACAAAAUCCAAAAAAACUCCUAACAUGGCAACUCAGGACAUUUUAAUCCUUUUUUUUGUUGUUGGGCUUCUGAUAGGAUCCAUUUUAUUGAUUCCAUAAAUAUUUAGUAGACUUUAGACAUAUUAAUACAUUGUAGUUUGAGUUAAUUUGCAUUAAAUUCUGUUUUUUUCCCCUUAGGUAUAGAUUGUCUGUUGGAAAAAUAUAUUGCUUGUGGAUUUCUUGGGGAGUGGGAAGGUGAAUUAUACCUGUUGUCUCUACAGUCCACUACCUUCCACACCCUAGGGCAGUGGUCCCCAACCUUCUUGGCACCAGGGAUCAGUUUCCUGGAAGACAAUUUUUCUGUGGAUGGUGUGGGGAUGGUUUUGGGAUGGAACUGUUCCACCUCAGAUCAUCAGGCAUUAGUUAGGCUCUCAUAACGAGUGCGCAGCCUAGAUCCCUCACAUGCACAGUUCACAGUAGGGUUUGCGCUGCUAUGAGAAUCUAAGGCUGCCACUGAUCUGACAGGAGGCAGAACUCAGGUGGCAAUGCUUACUGGCCCACUGCUCACCUCUUGCUGUGCGGCCUGGUUCCUAAUAGGCCAUGGACCCCCACAGACGGGUACUAGUCUGCAGCCUGUGGACCCCAGCCCUAGGGGCCUGCCAUUCUGAGUGAGUUAUUAGCAUGAAGAAGAGGAAGAUCUGGAUCAAACGUGGGUGAUGGUACUCAGAGACCCAAGAUAGGAUAGGGAUGGAACAAAAUCCAUCUGGGCAACGGCUCUAUGAAAAUUUGGCUAAGUAAUUAUUUCAGUAUUCAUUGUAUUCAUUGUCCUUCGUGUUCCAUAAGUUAAAUGACUGUCUAAUUUUUCCAAAAAUUUAUUUCUGACUUGAGAAUAAGUGUGUCAUGAUUUUCCCAGUGUAAAGACACUGAUAUAACUGUAGAUACCAGACAUUUUAUGUAGUGUCUAUGACACAUUUUAGUAUGUAUGAGCCAACAAUAGACAUGUCUUUGUCUUGAGGAGUGUCCAUCUGAAUUGAAAAUGUGUCAGCUUUUUUUUAACAUCAUCAACAGACUUCUUAAUUAAGCUGCCAAUACAUACUGCCAAUAGCACUGUGUGCUGUCUGAGAAAUGCAUUGUGUAAGUGCUAUUUCCAUCUUAUUAAAUAAACAAUGUUGCUCUGUAUAAACUGGAUUUAAAGUGUUCUUUGAAUGAGGCAUUAUAUUGCUCCAUAAAUAAUGUGAUGUGAAUUCUCAUAUGAUCCCUUUUAACUUAAUUUCUAAAAAAAUAUUAUUUGCUCCUCAGUAAGGAAUAGCUCUAAUUGGACUGGUAACUUUAGUGAUAUGAUUUGUCUGUAACAGGCUGAAUCGCCCCACUCCCAAACUCCUGGUCGUGAUACUGGAUAUUUGUUAUGCCACUUUUAGUUUGCAUGAGGUAUCUUCCAGGAAGUAUUAGUUAUUAACUUGUGUUCUACUAAACUGUAGAUAUUUAUUUCCUGUUCUGGAAGAUUUCUUGGAGUGUCCAUCUGUGCAUUCCUGGUGCCUAGUGUAGUCUUGCUAAUGGAAUAGCACCUUUAUUGGUGCUACUUAGGGGUUGGUAGCUUACAAUCAAUCUACUUGGAACGUAUCCAAAUAAACUGGAUAUUUUUAUACA
rnacentral:lncRNA from 1 species